GUUCGGACUGUAGGCUGCAACUCGCCUACACGAAGCUGGAAUCGCUAGUAAUCGCGGAUCAGCACGCCGCGGUGAAUACGUUCCCGGGCCUUGUACACACCGCCCGUCACACCAUGAGAGUCUGUAACACCCAAAGCCGGUGGGAUAACCUUUAUAGGAGUCAGCCGUCUAAGGUAGGACAGAUGAUUAGGGUGAAGUCGUAACAAGGUACC
rnacentral:rRNA from 1 species